rnacentral:rRNA from 1 species
UACGGGGGGGGCAAGCGUUGUUCGGAAUUACUGGGCGUAAAGGGCCAGUAGGCGGCCAACUAAGUCGGAUGUGAAAUCCCCAGGCUUAACCUGGGAACUGCAUCCGAUACUGGUUGGCUUGAGUUUGGGAGAGGGAUGCGGAAUUCCAGGUGUAGCGGUGAAAUGCGUAGAUAUCUGGAGGAACACCGGUGGCGAAGGCGGCAUCCUGGACCAAUACUGACGCUGAGGAGCGAAAGCCAGGGGAGCAAACGGG